ACAGUUUCAAGGACACUUGUCAACUCUCCUGUGACUGGUCAGCACACUCACAAGACACGGAGAGGCACUGUCAUUGGCUGGUUAUGCCUGUAAAAGGCCAGUCUUUCCCUCAAGGAAACAGAGAAGCCACUGGAGACAGAAGAAGGCAGCAAUGAAGAGUAAAGAGCAGUGAAGACAAGGCUGAGAAGAGACCGGGUUAGAAGUGGCCAGGAGGAAAGUGCGCCACAGAGAGCAGGACAUGCGGAGGAAAUGGCACAGAAGAUUCAGCAGCCUCCCCGUCAAUCCAGCUCUUGAAGGUACUAGAUACUCCUGCAUGGGUGGGGAGAAGAAGGACACCCCAAGAGCUUCCUGCAGCAUUUCAGAACCUCCUCAGGAAGCACUUCUCCAAGUGUGGUCUUCUCAAAUCACUGAGACUACUUCCCUUGGGUUCUCAGACUUCACUUUGAAAUCACCGCAUUAAUCCAUUGGUUUACAGAACAAGGGCAGGCACUGAGGAGGCCUUGGCGUUGCUGACAAAGAGUUAACAACAAAGAGCACAACAGAGAGCAGACAGAUGGGGAAGUCCACAUGGAAGGUGCUCAGAAAUGCUACUGAUUUCUAUUCCAUCAAAUUUCAGGGUGAGAGGGAGGACGCAUUCCUCCGAGGCAAGAGCAUCUUUCCCCUACAAGAAGAACACUGAAAGUCAACAUUUUAAUUCCCUUUGUCUGGCAGGAAGAUGUAUGUGCUGGUGACUAUGAAAGUGUUUAUGACCCAAACAAUAAGCCAAAAUUAAUGAUCAACAAAAACUUAGCAGAAAGGAUAAAAAAGAAAAAAAGAAAGAGAGAGAAAAUAGGAAAAAGGCUAAAAACUCCAAUGUGAAGAUGCAACUAAUACCUCACUAGAAGUCUUUUUCUGCCUAAUGCGGAGAAAUAGAACAGUAGUCUCAACUAGAAACCUUUCUAUAAUUCACUAUUCCCGCCCAGAAUAAAGGAGUGCUUUUUAUGAGCACUGACCCCUUCUUACCCAAAGGUGGCAUCAACCUGAAGAUAAUGAGCUCCAACAACAAAGGUUAGUCUGCUCCAAAGCUACAGGCUCACAAAAUGAUUUGAAACCUGAGAACGGCUCAUGACGGGACUAGACGCUUUAAGAAAAUGACAGUAACUGAACAGACUGAAGCAAAAUUCAUUACUAGUAAGUACUCUACCCACCUUCUCCAAGGCAACAUGAAUAUGGAAGAUAGAUCACCAUCACCUACCACCCAGUCCACAAGUGCACAGGAAAAAUAAAGAAUGGAUAUACUGCAUGUUGGCAUAUAAAGAGCCUCAAAGAUAAAUCAGCUGGCGGGGGGAGGGGGGGGGCAGGUAAGGGCAUGGAACUUAUUCAGGAAAAACUUCUACAGAAGAAAAAGUUAAAGGAAGUGAAGAAUCUUCCAGGAGAAAAUCUAGAUGAAUUCAUUAUGUUCUUGAAGAGACUUAGAAAAUCUCAAAUAGGUCUUCUAGCAAUCAGU